rnacentral:rRNA from 1 species
UACGAAGGGGGGCUAGCGUUGCUCGGAAUCAUUGGGCGUAAAGGGCGCGUAGGUGGUUCUGUAUGUCUAUCGUGAAAGCAUACAGCUCAACUGUAUUUUGUCGGUAGAAACUGCAGGACUUGAGGCUGGGAGGGGCUGGUGGAAUUCCCUGUGUAGCGGUGAAAUGCGUAGAGAUGGGGGAGAACACUCGUGGCGAAGGCGGCCAGCUAGACCAGUUCUGACACUGAGGCGCGACAGCGUGGGGGAGCAAACAGG